CCAAGCCAGCGAUCUUGGUGCUUCAGCCACAGCCAGUAGUGAGAGCGGUCGGAAAAGAACCAGCCAGGGCCGACGAUCAAGUUUGGGCUACUUUGUACUGCAGCUACUUCAAAUGAAGCCUACGGAAGUGCUGAUUGAAUCCACUGGUGUGAUUGGCCAAAGGAUAAAAAAGGGCAGAUGAUACAGCAGUGGCAAUCACAACAACCGACCCUGUUAGCAAGAGUGUGGCAAUUCAGUUUCAGGUUGGAGGGACAUAUAUAAGAAUUAGGGGAAUGGCAAAAGGUUCCAGGAUGAUCCACCCCAAUAUGGC